UACGAAGGGGGCUAGCGUUGCUCGGAAUUACUGGGCGUAAAGGGCGCGUAGGCGGCACUGUUAGUCAGGCGUGAAAUUCCUGGGCUCAACCUGGGACUGCGCUUGAUACGGCAGAGCUUGAGGAUGGAAGAGGGUCGCGGAAUUCCCAGUGUAGAGGUGAAAUUCGUAGAUAUUGGGAAGAACACCGGUGGCGAAGGCGGCCAUCUGGACCGCAACUGACGCUGAGGCGGCGAAAAGCGUGGGGGAGCAAACAGGG
rnacentral:rRNA from 1 species